AUUCUAGGUGAGGGCUGGGGAUUUCACUCAGUGGUGCUGCCACCUGCCUGCCUCAAAAGUGCAAGGUCCUGAGUUCAAUCCCUGGUACCAAAAAAAAAUUAUUCUAGGUGAAAAAGAAGAAAACAUGGCAGAAAGAAAAAUCUCAGACUAGUCUCCAGCCUUAGAAAACAGGAAAGCCUGAAUGGGAACGCUUCCCAAACAUGAAGUGGAUGGAGUUGUCCAGCAGGAGUUACGUCAGGCCCCAGUAAAGGGUUUGCUGAUAACAAGAUGCAUCCAUCUUCAUUACUCAGCCACUCCUGUCUGACUUUGCUCAGCAUCUUCGAAGGGCUAUGCCUCUUGGAACUGAAGAAUUAAACUUUUAUCCAAACCAGAUUCUGCUCUUUCACCUCUUCUGAUUCCUUGAGUACUUCCCAUUUAUUUUGCCUAAAUGACAUCUGAUUACCUAACAUGGAAUGGAGCAGGGGCUUAAC
rnacentral:lncRNA from 1 species